rnacentral:rRNA from 1 species
UACGAAGGGGGCUAGCGUUGCUCGGAAUCACUGGGCGUAAAGGGUGCGUAGGCGGGUCUUUAAGUCAGGGGUGAAAUCCUGGGAGCUCAACUCCAGAACUGCCUUUGAUACUGGGAGUCUUCGAGUCCGGGAGAGGUGAGUGGAACUGCGAGUGUAGAGGUGAAAUUCGUAGAUAUUCGCAAGAACACCAGUGGCGAAGGCGGCUCACUGGCCCGGUACUGACGCUGAGGUGCGAAAGCGUGGGGAGCAAACAGG